UUAGAGUUUGAUCCUGGCUCAGAUUGAACGCUGGCGGCAGGCCUAACACAUGCAAGUCGAGCGGUAACAGAGAGUAGCUUGCUACUCUGCUGACGAGCGGCGGACGGGUGAGUAAUGCUUGGGAAUAUGCCUUAUGGUGGGGGACAACAGUUGGAAACGACUGCUAAUACCGCAUGAUGUCUACGGACCAAAGUGGGGGACCUUCGGGCCUCACGCCAUAAGAUUAGCCCAAGUGGGAUUAGCUAGUUGGUGAGGUAAUGGCUCACCAAGGCGACGAUCCCUAGCUGGUUUGAGAGGAUGAUCAGCCACACUGGGACUGAGACACGGCCCAGACUCCUACGGGAGGCAGCAGUGGGGAAUAUUGCACAAUGGGCGCAAGCCUGAUGCAGCCAUGCCGCGUGUGUGAAGAAGGCCUUCGGGUUGUAAAGCACUUUCAGUAAGGAGGAAAGGUUAAGUGUUAAUAGCACUUAGCUGUGACGUUACUUACAGAAGAAGCACCGGCUAACUCCGUGCCAGCAGCCGCGGUAAUCUCCAGGCACACGCUAGGCCAUUUCC
rnacentral:rRNA from 1 species